rnacentral:tRNA from 1 species
UGGCUCAGACAGUAAAGCGUCUGCUUGCAAUGCAGGAGACCCAGGUUUGAUUCCUGG